AAAAACGUUAUAUAGUAAUAGCGAAAGCCUCGCAAUGGACCAAUACAUCAGAUGCAGGAAAGAUAAUGGGAAGUUCUAUUAUGUGAUCUCCAUAGACUUGCAAAGAGCCAUAGAUCACAAUGACAUCAAGAAGCAUAUGGUGAAAUACUGCUACCUUUAUAGUAGACAGAUAUUUAACCAGAAAGUCCAACAAGCACCGAGUAAUCAAGCAAAAGAACCCGUUCGGCCAGUCUGUAUUUAAUUACGUAAUGGCAAACUGCUAACCGAGGUCAACUUUGGAAAGUUUGCAGUUUCUGCAACGACAAGGCUGCAUCGCAACAUCGUUGAGGUGUUUGGUUAAAAUGGAUAAAAUACAAAACCGGAUACCAUCAUAUUUGAAAUUUGGGCCGAUAACAUAAUCGUAAAAUAGUUUAUAUUUCCCUGCUUUAUACAUGGAUUGAUGCUAAAACGAAUGAUGCAAUUACAAAAAUAAGGGUACCCUCUCAAGUGACAAUACUCGAAAGUGGUAACCGCUGUCCACAGGGGACAUAGUUUUUGUCGCAGUGUUAUCGUCACCAUUUCGUGACAUUUCCUGCCUUCGCGGUAAUAUUGUUCUUGGUAGACGGAAGAAGGAAAGUCGCCGGUCGGCUCAUUUAUCGUAUACAGCCCAAAAGUAGUCCUUAUUACCCGGUUAUUAGUUCGACUGUCCUUUACACAGGUAAAUGUAAUGCUGACAAUAGAAAGAGGGUGGUGCGUGUCUUCCGGUUCGCCGAGUGGCUCCUCUUAACCUUUGGCAAGUGUUAAAAGUGUCUGGGACCCCCCCUAAAGAGACGCUGGCGGCGGCCAGACGUAUUGAUUUGUAAUGUUCAAAUUUCUUUCAUUCUUGUAAAUCCCAUUCAUUAAAAAGAAUAAAUAAAUUUGGUUAUCGCCAUCAUAAUGUAAUAUAAAAGUAAUGACAAUCACAAUUAUAAUUUGAUUUAAUUGCUGUUUAAAAUCGUAAUUAUCUGUUUUGAGUAUUUUGCGAAAAGAAAACAGACGUCGGGCGCCACUCUUUUUCAGUUUGGGCCAGUGUCGUCGCCUGGGACAGUGAUAUCGAGUAAUUAUCGUCCUUCGUUCUUUGGCUAAUGUGCCAGGGAAACCUUCUAAUGCGUAAGGCGCCUUUCCUUUUUACUUGGCUCGAGUCUGCGACUCGUCAAGAGUCACUCGGGGCGAAACAUGCCGCGCAACCCCGGAUGACGCCAAACCCCAUCGACGGAUGGAUCUCUGCCAAAAUGUCUUUGUGACCACUGUGUACAAACACGCGCAGUUACGCAACGCACAUUGUGCUAAAUUGCUGUAUACAUCCCUUGAAGUUGUUUAUUUAUUGGAACGUUUGACGAUUGACAAAUAGUCACGAAGCGUGUUAUGGUAAAAAUCUA